GCAUCGAUGGUUCAGUGGUAAAAUGCUCGCCUGCCACGCGGGAGGCCCGGGUUCGAUUCCCGGCCGAAGCA
rnacentral:tRNA from 1 species